ensembl:misc_RNA Metazoa_SRP Metazoan signal recognition particle RNA
GCUGGGCAUGGUGGCGUGUGCCUGUAAUCCCAGCUACUUGGGAGGCUGAGGCAGGAGAAUCGCUUGAACCUGGGAGGCAGAGGUUGCAGUGAGCCAAGGUCAUGCCACUGCACUCCAGCCUAGGCAACAGAGUGAGACUCUGUCUCAA